rfam:Magnaporthe poae ATCC 64411 unplaced genomic scaffold supercont1.1, whole genome shotgun sequence.
UGUUAUGAUGAAUCCCAGAUAGGGACAGCUUAUACCAUUGGUAUAUGAUGCGAACCUGGGCACAGUAUUUUAGUAGAUGCUCUGUUUUCUGAAC